UGAAUACGAGACGCUAAGGCGUCGAAGUAGUGUAUGUCAUACUUCCAAGAAAAGCUUGCACUGUCAUAAGUAAAAAAUGCCUGUACCAUAACCGACACAGGUGGGUAGGUAGAGUAUACUAAGGGGCGCGAGAUAACUCUCUCUAAGGAACUCGGCAAAAUAACUCCGUAACUUCGGGAGAAGGAGUACCUUAUUCUAUAAGGUUGCAAUAACAAGAUCCAAGCAACUGUUUAUCAAAAACACAGGUCUCCGCUAAGUCGUAAGACGAUGUAUGGGGGCUGACGCCUGCCCAGUGCCAGAAGGUUAAAGAAGUCGGUUAGCAUUAGCGAAGCUGGUAACUGAAGCCCUGGUGAACGGCGGCCGUAACGAUAACGGUCCUAAGGUAGCGAAAUUCCUUGUCGGGUAAGUUCCGACCCGCACGAAAGGCGUAAUGAUUUGGAUACUGUCUCGGAGAGGGGCUCGGUGAAAUAGACUUGUCUGUGAAGAUGCGGACUACCUGCACCAGGACAGAAAGACCCUAUGAAGCUUUACUGUAACUUGAAAUUGAAAUUGGACUUUAUUCGCGCAGUAUAGGUGGGAGGUGUUGAUUAUAAUCUUGCGGGAUUAUUGGAGCCAUCAGUGAGAUACCACUCUUGUAAUGUUAGAUUUCUAACUUUGAAUCAUUAUCUGGUCAAAGGACAGUUUCAGGCGGGCAGUUUGACUGGGGCGGUCGCCUCCCAAACGGUAACGGAGGCGUACAAAGGUUUCCUCUGAACGGGUAGAAAUCGUAUCUAGAGUGUAAAGGCAUAAGGAAGCUUGACUGUGAGACCUACAAGUCGAACAGGGACGAAAGUCGGUCUUAGUGAUCUGACGGUACUGAGUGGAAAGGCCGUCACUCAACGGAUAAAAGUUACUCUAAGGAUAACAGGCUGAUCUCCCCCAAGAGUUCACAUCGACGGGGAGGUUUGGCACCUCGAUGUCGGCUCAUCGCAUCCUGGGGCGGUAGUACGUCCCAAGGGUUGGGCUGUUCGCCCAUGAAAGCGGUACGCGAGCUGGGUUCAGAACGUCGUGAGACAGUUCGGUCCAUAUCCGGUGUAGGCGUUAGAAUAUUGAGAGGAGCCUUCUUUAGUACGAGAGGACCGAGAAGGACAUACCUCUGGUGUACCAGUUAUCGUGCCAACGGUAAACGCUGGGUAGCUAUGUAUGGAGUGGAUAACCGCUGAAAGCAUCUAAGUGGGAAGCCCACCUCAAGAUAAGUAUUCCC
rnacentral:rRNA from 1 species